CCUACGGGUGGCAGCAGUGGGGAAUAUUGGACAAUGGGCGAAAGCCUGAUCCAGCCAUGCCGCGUGUGUGAAGAAGGCCUUCGGGUUGUAAAGCACUUUCAGUGGGGAAGAAAGCCUUGGGGCUAAUACCCUCGAGGAAGGACAUCACCCACAGAAGAAGCACCGGCUAACUCCGUGCCAGCAGCCGCGGUAAUACGGAGGGUGCGAGCGUUAAUCGGAAUUACUGGGCGUAAAGCGCGCGUAGGCGGUCUGAUAAGCCGGUUGUGAAAGCCCCGGGCUCAACCUGGGAACGGCAUCCGGAACUGUCAGGCUAGAGGGCAGGAGAGGAAGGUAGAAUUCCCGGUGUAGCGGUGAAAUGCGUAGAGAUCGGGAGGAAUACCAGUGGCGAAGGCGGCCUUCUGGACUGACACUGACGCUGAGGUGCGAAAGCGUGGGUAGCAAACAGGAUUAGAUACCCGUGUAGUC
rnacentral:rRNA from 1 species